rnacentral:Y_RNA from 1 species
AGCUGGUCUGAAGGUAGUGAGUUAACUCAAUUGAUGGUUCACAGUCAGUUACAGAUCAAACUCCUUGUUUGAUAUUUCCCCACUUCUCACUACUGCACUUGACUAGUCUUAA